CUACGGGCUGCUGCAGUGGGGAAUAUUGCACAAUGGGGGAAACCCUGAUGCAGCAACGCCGCGUGGAGGAUGACGCAUUUCGGUGUGUAAACUCCUUUUAUAUCCCAAGAUAAUGACGGUAGGAUAUGAAUAAGCACCGGCUAACUCCGUGCCAGCAGCCGCGGUAAUACGGAGGGUGCAAGCGUUACUCGGAAUCACUGGGCGUAAAGGGCGCGUAGGCGGGUUGUCAAGUCUUGAGUGAAAUCCAACGGCUCAACCGUUGAACUGCUUGAGAAACUGGCAGCCUAGAGUGAGGGAGAGGUAGAUGGAAUUGGUGGUGUAGGGGUAAAAUCCGUAGAGAUCACCAGGAAUACCCAUUGCGAAGGCGAUCUGCUGGAACUCUACUGACGCUGAGGCGCGAAAGCGUGGGGAGCAUACAGGAUUAGAUACCCGCGUAGUC
rnacentral:rRNA from 1 species